rnacentral:rRNA from 1 species
UACGUAGGGGGCUAGCGUUGUCCGGAAUCAUUGGGCGUAAAGAGCGUGUAGGCGGCUCGGUAAGUCCGCUGUGAAAGUCCAGGGCUCAACCCUGGAAUGCCAGUGGAAACUGUCGAGCUAGAGUCCGGAAGAGGCGAGUGGAAUUCCUGGUGUAGCGGUGAAAUGCGCAGAUAUCAGGAGGAACACCAAUGGCGAAGGCAGCUCGCUGGGACGGUACUGACGCUGAGACGCGAAAGCGUGGGGAGCGAAUGGG